UGAUGACAUGUACAAGGAAUCUCGUCCUCAGCCCCCAAAUGACAGUACAGAAUAUUCAGAAAACACACAUGAAACCAUGGCAUCUGCUAGUUCAGCCAGUGAUAUGCCAGAGAAGGAUAGUCAUUCUUAUCUCAGAAACAUGUGUCUCUUUUACCUUAAACAGCUACUCAGCUACUUUGAAGAGAAGGAGGAGUCCAUGCUUCUCUGUGUUGAAGAUACAUGUCUGGCAGAUGAGGUACAACUGGAGCAAGUGCCUCUGACACCCACUAUUAUCAUGUGUGGUAAGUCUGUUUCAUAGCUCUCUCUCUCUCUUUUUUUUUUAAGUGCAUUUUUUAUAGAAUGUCAUGUGACUGCCGUGUUUAUUGAUAUAACCUGUUAAAUAAUUUUUUCACAGGACAGUCCUGCUAUUCCUCAAGAAGAUACAUGCUGAGUGUUGAUCGGCACCUCGUCAGCACAAACAUAUCCUCCUUCAUUUCUGCACUGUGCCUCAUGUUCGGGAGCUACUACAAUUUCAACAUCCAUUAUCCAUCUGAGCUGGCUUCCACUUUAGAGUUUCUUCAGAGGUGUUUCUUCUCCAUAAACCCAGAAAAAGGAACCAAAGUAGAGAACAAAAACUCAAAGCGUCGUCUCAGUGUGAACCCUCGAGUCCUCACCCUGAUUUAGGAUUUCGCCGACCACGAGUGGCGCUAAGCCUAAAUCUUGACUCUCUGUGGACUGUUAGUUUUACUUUGUUAAUUUUGUUCCACAAUGUGUACUGGAACCUUUUACUGGUCGAAUGCAUGAAGCCAAUUCAUGAAGAUGUUCUUUCUUUGUAGGAAUGUUCUUUAUUUACAUAAGAAAAGAAAAAAAAACAACAUGCUGCUACUGCAGUGUUUCUAGACCACAUGUGUAGGUUUGUUUCACCACGUGGUUUUGCUGAUGUUUUCUGACCAGGGCCAUGGUUGUGGUGACAGCAGGGUGCGUGUUGCGUUGCACGGUGAUUAUGAUCAUUUUUGGCACAAUAUGUGUUUUUUGUUUUAAAGUCUUAACAGGUUAGUUAACUUUUUCUGGUGGAGGGUCUAACAAAUGCUUGUUUCAUGAACAUGGUUCUUGCUUUGCAGGAAUGUUCCACAGCUUUUAU
ensembl:lncRNA